UGACCUCAAAUCAGGUAGGACUACCCGCUGAACUUAAGCAUAUCAAUAAGCGGAGGAAAAGAAACUAACAAGGAUUCCCCUAGUAACUGCGAGUGAAGCGGGAAAAGCUCAAAUUUAAAAUCUGGCGGUUCUUGUAGCCGUCCGAGUUGUAAUUUAGAGAAGUGUUAUCCGCGCUGGACCGUGUACAAGUCUCCUGGAAUGGAGCGUCAUAGAGGGUGAGAAUCCCGUCUUUGACACGGACUGCCAGGGCAUUGUGAUGCGCUCUCAAAGAGUCGAGUUGUUUGGGAAUGCAGCUCAAAAUGGGUGGUAAAUUCCAUCUAAAGCUAAAUAUUGAGGAGAGACCGAUAGCGAACAAGUACCGUGAGGGAAAGAUGAAAAGAACUUUGGAAAGAGAGUUAAACAGUACGUGAAAUUGCUGAAAGGGAAACGCUUGAAGUCAGUCGCGUUGUUCAGGACUCAGCCUUGCUUUGCUUGGUGUACUUCCUGUUCGACGGGUCAGCAUCAAUUUUGGUCGGUGGAUAAAGGCUUGGAGAAUGUGGCAUCUUUGGGUGUGUUAUAGCUCUGGGUCGCAUACAUCGGCUGGGAUUGAGGAACUCAGCACGCCGCAAGGCCGGGUACUUGUACCACGUACGUGCUUAGGAUGC
rnacentral:rRNA from 1 species